GACAGAGGGUGCAAACGUUGUUCGGAAUUACUGGGCGUAAAGGGCGCGCAGGCGGCUGAUCAAGUCAGAUGUGAAAGCCCCGGGCUCAACCUGGGAAUAGCAUUUGGGACUGGUCGGCUAGAGUUCGGGAGAGGAGAGUGGAAUUCCCAGUGUAGAGGUGAAAUUCGUAGAUAUUGGGAAGAACACCGGUGGCGAAGGCGGCUCUCUGGACCGAUACUGACGCUGAGGCGCGAAAGCGUGGGGAGCAAACAGG
rnacentral:rRNA from 1 species